GACGAACGCUGGCGGCGUGCUUAACACAUGCAAGUCGAACGGAAAGGCCCUGCUUUUGUGGGUUGCUCGAGUGGCGAACGGGUGAGUAACACGUGAGUAACCUGCCCUUGACUUUGGGAUAACUUCAGGAAACUGGGGCUAAUAUCGGAUAGGAGCUCCUGCUGCAUGGGGGGGGUUGGAAAGUUUCGGCGGUUGGGGAUGGACUCGCGGCUUAUCAGCUUGUUGGUGGGGUAGUGGCUUACCAAGGCUUUGACGGGUAGCCGGCCUGAGAGGGUGACCGGCCACAUUGGGACUGAGAUACGGCCCAGACUCCUACGGGAGGCAGCAGUGGGGAAUAUUGCACAAUGGGCGGAAGCCUGAUACAGCAACGCCGCGUGCGGGAUGACGGCCUUCGGGUUGUAAACCGCUUUCGCCUGUGACGAAGCGUGAGUGACGGUAAUGGGUAAAGAAGCACCGGCUAACUACGUG
rnacentral:rRNA from 1 species